AGAGUUUGAUCCUGGCUCAGGAUGAACGCUAGCUACAGGCUUAACACAUGCAAGUCGAGGGGAAACGAUAGAGAAAGCUUGCUUUUUCUAGGCGUCGACCGGCGCACGGGUGAGUAACGCGUAUCCAACCUGCCCAUCACUUGGGGAUAACCUUGCGAAAGUAAGACUAAUACCCAAUGACGUCCAUAGAAGACAUCUGAAGGAGAUUAAAGAUUUAUCGGUGAUGGAUGGGGAUGCGUCUGAUUAGCUUGUUGGCGGGGUAACGGCCCACCAAGGCGACGAUCAGUAGGGGUUCUGAGAGGAAGGUCCCCCACAUUGGAACUGAGACACGGUCCAAACUCCUACGGGAGGCAGCAGUGAGGAAUAUUGGUCAAUGGACGAGAGUCUGAACCAGCCAAGUAGCGUGCAGGAUGACGGCCCUAUGGGUUGUAAACUGCUUUUAUAAGGGAAUAAAGUGAGUCUCGUGAGACUUUUUGCAUGUACCUUAUGAAUAAGGACCGGCUAAUUCCGUGCCAGCAGCCGCGGUAAUACGGAAGGUCCGGGCGUUAUCCGGAUUUAUUGGGUUUAAAGGGAGCGUAGGCCGGAGAUUAAGCGUGUUGUGAAAUGUAGACGCUCAACGUCUGCACUGCAGCGCGAACUGGUUUCCUUGAGUACGCACAAAGUGGGCGGAAUUCGUGGUGUAGCGGUGAAAUGCUUAGAUAUCACGAAGAACUCCGAUUGCGAAGGCAGCUCACUGGAGCGCAACUGACGCUGAAGCUCGAAAGUGCGGGUAUCGAACAGGAUUAGAUACCCUGGUAGUCCGCACGGUAAACGAUGGAUGCCCGCUGUUGGUCUGAAUAGGUCAGCGGCCAAGCGAAAGCAUUAAGCAUCCCACCUGGGGAGUACGCCGGCAACGGUGAA
rnacentral:rRNA from 1 species